AGGACGAACGCUGGCGGCGUGCUUAACACAUGCAAGUCGAGCGAGGACUUUCGGGUUCUAGCGGCGAACGGGUGAGUAACACGUGGGUAACCUGCCCCGAGCUUCGGAAUAACCUCGGGAAACCGGGGCUAAUGCCGGAUAUGACAUCGCAGGGCAUCUUGUGGUGUGGAAAGAUUUAUCGGCUCGGGAUGGGCCCGCGGCCUAUCAGCUUUGUUGGUGGGGUAGUGGCCUACCAAGGCGACGACGGGU
rnacentral:rRNA from 1 species